AGAGUGACUCUACUGGGAGUUGAGCCAUGAGACCCAGGGCUUCUCCCACCUGGGUUCCUUCACCCUGGACGGGGACAGCCUCUACGUCACUGGUUACACCUAUGGAGCCGUGGCCCCGACUACAACCAGCUUGCUCAUCUCUCUACUCACACAGUCACCCGUCCGAUCACUCUCAUUUAUGCUUCAUCUGUGAAUGGUGGUCCUGGGACAGCCACUGCUGGA